GCCCUGGCAGUCAGAGGCGAUGAAGGGCGUGCUAAUCUGCGAUAAGCGCCGGUAAGGUGAUAUGAACCGUUAUAACCGGCGAUACCCGAAUGGGGAAACCCAGUGUGAUUCGUCACACUAUCAUUAACUGAAUCCAUAGGUUAAUGAGGCGAACCGGGGGAACUGAAACAUCUAAGUACCCCGAGGAAAAGAAAUCAACCGAGAUUCCCCCAGUAGCGGCGAGCGAACGGGGAGGAGCCCAGAGCCUGAAUCAGCAUGUGUGUUAGUGGAAGCGUCUGGAAAGGCGCGCGAUACAGGGUGACAGCCCCGUACACAAAAGCGCAUGUGCUGUGAGCUCGAUGAGUAGGGCGGGACACGUGGUAUCCUGUCUGAAUAUGGGGGGACCAUCCUCCAAGGCUAAAUACUCCUGACUGACCGAUAGUGAACCAGUACCGUGAGGGAAAGGCGAAAAGAACCCCGGCGAGGGGAGUGAAAAAGAACCUGAAACCGUGUACGUACAAGCAGUGGGAGCACAGGUUUACCUG
rnacentral:rRNA from 1 species